AUUGAACGCUGGCGGAAUGCUUUACACAUGCAAGUCGAACGGCAGCACGGGGCAACCUGGUGGCGAGUGGCGAACGGGUGAGUAAUACAUCGGAACGUGCCCAAUCGUGGGGGAUAACGUAGCGAAAGUUACGCUAAUACCGCAUACGAUCUACGGAUGAAAGCGGGGGAUCGCAAGACCUCGCGCGAAUGGAGCGGCCGAUGUCAGAUUAGGUAGUUGGUGGGGUAAAGGCUCACCAAGCCAACGAUCUGUAGCUGGUCUGAGAGGACGACCAGCCACACUGGGACUGAGACACGGCCCAGACGCCUACGGGAGGCAGCAGUGGGGAAUUUUGGACAAUGGGCGCAAGCCUGAUCCAGCCAUUCCGCGUGAGUGAAGAAGGCCUUCGGGUUGUAAAGCUCUUUCGGCCGGGAAGAAAUCGCACGGGCUAAUACCCUGUGUGGAUGACGGUACCGGAAUAAGAAGCACCGGCUAACUACGUGCCAGCCGCCGCAGUAACAC
rnacentral:rRNA from 1 species